rnacentral:rRNA from 1 species
CACUCUAGAGAGACUGCCAGGGAUAACCUGGAGGAAGGUGGGGAUGACGUCAAAUCAUCAUGCCCCUUAUGCUUAGGGCUACACACGUGCUACAAUGGGUAGUACAGAGGGUUGCCAAGCCGUAAGGUGGAGCUAAUCCCUUAAAGCUACUCUCAGUUCGGAUUGUAGGCUGAAACUCGCCUACAUGAAGCUGGAGUUACUAGGAAUCGCAGAUCAGAAUGCUGCGGUGAAUGCGUUCCCGGGUCUUGUACACACCGCCCGUCACACCACGGGAGUUGGAGACGCCCGAAGCCGAUUAUCUAACCUUUUGGAAGAAGUCGUCGAAGGUGGA